CUUUCUCAUAGUUUCUAGUCACAACUCAAAACUUUCCAGAGAAUUAGGGUUUCUUCCCUUUUCUCCCUAAAAAAUUCACUCUGCUCGACAAACUCAACUUGCUAUUCCUCCGAUUAGGUCAUGGAGGAUAAUGAAGGUGGGGAUGGAGUUGGUGGAGAGCCAAUCGAGCAGUUUCACAGGAAUGAAGCGAUCUCCGCUGUUGCUGAUGAUGGGUUCAUGGUUGAAGAGGAUGAUGAUUACGAAGAUCUCUACAAUGAUGUUAAUGUUGGUGAGAAUUUUCUUCAAUCUUUUAGAAAGAAUGAGGAUUUAGUAUCUAGGAAUGAUGAGGUAGAGAGGAAGCCCGAGCAGCCUGCCCUUCCGGCGCCACCACCGGUAGUGGCAGCACCGCAAGUGGUGGAUGAGAGUGGGCGUGGCGAUUUUCAGGGUGUGGGUGGGGAGAGGAAUCCUGUAAAAGAGGAGGAUGUAGUGUCUGGGAUUUCUGCUAGAGCGUCAGUAGGUGCAGCUGUGUCUGGGCCUUCUGCUGGUGGCGGGUUUAGGGUUGAGUUAAGUCACCCGUCAAGUAAGAUGGGUGAUUUAGCAGAGCGGAUGGUGAAUAGUAAUGUUCCGCAUCAGGUGAUGGCUCAACAGCCUCAUGCUGGUGGUGUUGCAGUAGCUGCUGGAAAUUUGGGUAAUGUUGGAAAUAUGGGGAAUGAUAAUUUGAUAAGGCAAGGAGGGGUUAAUAUGAACGGGGCGGGUAAUAUUGUUGCUGGAGUUGGGGUCGCUAGUGGUGGAGGAGGAGGUGGUGGUGGCGGUGGUGCGACAAUUCUUUUUGUUGGUGAUCUGCAUUGGUGGACCACAGAUGCUGAGCUGGAAACUGAGUUGAGCAAGUAUGGACACGUGAAGGAGGUGAAAUUUUUUGAAGAAAAAGCUAGUGGGAAGUCUAAAGGAUAUUGCCAGGUUGAGUUUCAUGAUUCCUCAGCUGCCACAGCUUGCAAGGAAGGUAUGAAUGGACACAUGUUCAAUGGGCGGCCAUGUGUGGUCGCCUUUGCAUCAUCACCGUAUAAUGUGAAGAGGAUGGGUGAGGCUCAGGUGAAUCGAAAUCAGCAGGUGGCUCAAACUGCUGUUCCCCAAGCAAGGCGGGGGCCUGGUGAAGCUGCUGGUAAAAUUGGAAAUAACAACACUCCUACUGGUGGCAAUUAUCAAGGUGGUGGUGGUGGUGGGGAUGGCAACAGGGGGGGUUAUGGUAGAGGAAGUUGGGGUAGAGGAGGUCCUCAAGCUAUGGGAAAUCGGGGGCCUGUGGGUCCUAUGAGAAACAGGCCUGGUGGGAUUGCAGGAAGGGGUAUGAUGGGUAACGGUGGAGGUGGAUUUGGACAAGGUAUGGGUGGUGCACCUCCUAUGAUGCAUCCUCAAACAAUGAUGGGUCAAGGCUUUGAUCCUGCUUUUGGAGGGCCUAUGGGGAGAAUGGGUGGUUAUGGAGGAUUUCCUGGUGGUCCAGCUCCACCAUUUCCUGGUAUGUUGUCAUCUUUUCCACCUGUUGGAGGAGUUGGGAUGCCUGGAGUAGCUCCGCAUGUAAAUCCUGCAUUCUUUGGUAGAGGAAUGCCAAUGAAUGGUAUGGGAAUGAUGCCAGGCGCUGGUAUGGAGGGGCCUAACAUGGGGAUGUGGUCAGAACCUAAUGCGGGUGGAUGGGCUGGUGACGAGCAUGGUGGUAGAGCAGGAGAGUCAAGUUAUGCAGAAGAAGCUGGGUCUGAUCAUCAGUAUGGAGAAACAACUCACGAUAGAGGGGCUUGGCCAAAUAAUGUGAAAGAGAAAGAUAGAGGAUCAGAGCGUGAUUGGUCUGGUUCUACAGAGAGAAAACAUCGAGAAGGCAGAGAACCUUCCUAUGAUAGAGACAUGGCUCGUGAAAAGGAUCGGGGGCAUGACCAGGAUUGGCCAGAGAAAAGAUACCGUGAUGAUAGAGAUGUCGCACGUGACAGAGAGAGGGACCGGGAUCAUGAACGUUCUAGAGAACGAGGGCGUGAUCGUGAGAGGGAUCGAGAUCGUGAUCGUCAUAGGGAUGAUAGAGAUAGAUAUGCUGAUCAUCAUAGGUACAAGGACCGUGAGCAAGAAUAUGAUGAUGAAGACAGAGGAAGAUCAUCAAGGGGACACAGUAAAUCACGAUUAUCACAUGAGGAAGACCAUCGAUCAAGAUCAAGGGAUGCUGAUUAUGGAAAGAGGCGGCGUAUAACUUCUGAGUGAUCUGUGGCCUUGGCUGCUUAUUUUCAAGGGUACUUCACAAUGAGAUCGAUUAGUAGCUAAUCUACUGAGGGUUUGCCGUGUGUAUUCAGGCUUUCUACUGGGAGGCUUCCUUUACUUCCUGCUUUCAUCAAACAGCUGCUCUCUGAAAUGUUCUGUCGCACACAUGUUUAUGCUCUUUUCCUGUUUAAGGAGCACUGGUCUCUCAGCACUAAGAACAUGGAGGACGUAGAGCAAGCUGUUGGAAGAAGUAUGGAAGGAAACUCCUUGAAGCUUCUGCCUGAGGAAGAAUGUUAUAUUACAUGGUUUUACCUCUCAGUGAAGAUUGAAUUGCUAAUGGAACCUUUUAUCUCAGUUUUUAGCCUCUUUUUAAAUUUAUGUUUUUGUUGAAUGUGACCUGAAUAAUCCUUUCUGGUGACUUGUGACUUUAUUGUAAGCCUAGCCAUAGAUUAUCAUAGACAUUUGCUAUUUGAUGUAAUGUGUUAGGAGGAUUUGACCCACAGGUUGGCGCCGAUCUGCUCCCUUGCUCUGGCGUUUGUUGUACUAAUUAUUUUUCUCUUUGUAUCA